CGUCACAACUAACAAAGUUCCAUUCCGAACUACGACGCAGGAACGAACGGACCUAGCUCUAAUUCCCUCGCGAUUCAUAACGGAAUUUUUUUUAUAAUCGUCGAACGAGAGUCAGAGAGUACUUUUUCAGAAUGCCAUCCGUACUGUCAAAGGAAUUGGACAUCGAAAAUGUGCGGUACCUGCUGGGAAACGUAUACCAGCCCGCAGGGAGAAAAUGCCGCACUUGCAAAAAAAAUCUGAACAUCUACGACGCCAUGGAUAUCCCUGGAGAUCAGGGGUCGCAAACUGUGUAUAGGAAAAUGAGGAAAGUGGAGAAGUGGCGGCCCCAGAUCAGCGUGGGCGGGUAGCACACACUCGUCCUGGUAGAGCCUCCUGUAUCCAUGUGGCUUGAAAAAAAAAUGCUUGAAGUGAACAAUUUGUGACUUUUUAAUGUGUGAAAAUACAUUCAGACAUAACGUAGAGUAAGUCGCUAUGAGCGAAGUAUCAACAACAAAAAAAAUGAAUACAUACAUUGUAUCGGUACCGGUAUCCCU